GUGCCAUGUGUCACUUGUUCCUCAAAAAAGGAUUCCUCAGUGAGGGCCAGCUGAGAAGCAGUAAGCUCUGUGGUCUUGGGGUUUGCUUUUUCACCUGAAGGAAAUCCAAUAUAACAAAAGUGCCUAUUAGUGAUGUCAACACAGAACAAAAUAAAUGACCAUUUUAGUGGAAGAAUAAAGAUGAAAAUAAAGCCUCUACCAUCUAUGGCAUUUUUACAUCUCUUAAACCCUGCUUUAAAAUUUCUUUCUUUACUAAUCCUUGGGCUCUUGACAUCUUUAAAAGGUAACCCAAGGAGAAAAGUUGCAGCAGGGAACAGAAAAUCUGUAGUGGAGACUCCACCUCAACUCUCCAGAGUGGGGUAGGGUGGGGCAGAGUAAUGAUAAUGACUGUGUUCCAAUAUCUCAUGCUGCUAUGACAGCACAGAGAAGGUGAACCUAACUUGGCCCACAUGGAAGAUAGAAAGAGGUCAGUGGAGGCUACAAGGACAAGUUGCUACAUAAGCUUAUUUCUAAAGAGAGAAGAUGGAGAUAUCAAAGAGGGAGGAAAUAAAUGAAGAAGCAUGUUCUCUGAGGCAGUGGACAGACUCCUGAACUAGCUACUCUAGGAGGGGUAGUCUCUCCAGAAUCAGCAAGGCCUCCAAGAUGUCAAA